rnacentral:rRNA from 1 species
GACGAACGCUGGCGGCGUGCUUAACACAUGCAAGUCGAACGGAAAGGCCCUGCUUUUGUGGGGUGCUCGAGUGGCGAACGGGUGAGUAACACGUGAGUAACCUGCCCUUGACUUUGGGAUAACUUCAGGAAACUGGGGCUAAUACCGGAUAGGAGCUCCUGCUGCAUGGUGGGGGUUGGAAAGUUUCGGCGGUUGGGGAUGGACUCGCGGCUUAUCAGCUUGUUGGUGGGGUAGUGGCUUACCAAGGCUUUGACGGGUAGCCGGCCUGAGAGGGUGACCGGCAAAAUGGGGACUGAGAUACGGCCCAGACUCCUAGGGGAGGCAGCAGGGGGGAAUAUUGAACAAUGGGCGGAAGCCUGAUGCAGCAACGCCGCGUGCGGGAUGACGGCCUUCGGGUUGUAAACCGCUUUCGCCUGGGACGAAGCGUGAGUGACGGUAAUGGGUAAAGAAGCACCGGCUAACUACGUG